GGUUGAGUAGCUAAGUGGUAGAGCGACCUGCCUGGAAAAUAGGAGGUCCUGAGAUGAAACCCUAGCACUGCCA
rnacentral:tRNA from 1 species